AUUUUGAAAAACGUCGACUUCUCUUAUUCCAUCACUUUCCUCCAAAUCCUGCAUAAGGGAAGCGUUUCAGGAGAAUUUUGAGACUGAACUUCCUGAGGGAAGCGGGGCGCUCAAGAUGAAGUUGUUAGUCAUCGCGACAGUGCUGGCGGUCGGGCUCGCAACUUCCUCGGCAAAUCUGCAGGAUGAGUCAGAGCCCGCCACCGCGACCGUCAAGUUCCUCGGCGGCUAUAUGACUCGGACUCGCUUCAGCACAUGGUGGUCC